ACUAAAGGAUAAUAGUAUUCCACUGGUCUUAGGC
rnacentral:tRNA from 1 species